CCCUUAGAUGUUCUGGGCCGCACGCGCGCUACACUGACGGAGUCAACGAGUUGUCCUGCAUCGGAAGGUGUGGGUAAUCUUUUGAAACUUCGUCGUGCUGGGGAUAGAUCUUUGCAAUUUUCGAUCUUGAACGAGGAAUUCCUAGUAAGCGUGAUUCAUCAGAUCGCGUUGAUUACGUCCCUGCCCUUUGUACACACCGCCCGUCGCUACUACCGAUUGAAUGGUUUAGUGAGGCCUCGGGACUGGCGCGCUCGAGUAGCAAUACACCUGCGCGCCGGGAACUUGGUCAAACUUGAUCGUUUAGAGGAAGUAAAAGUCGUAACA
rnacentral:rRNA from 1 species